rnacentral:rRNA from 1 species
CACACCGCCCGUCACAUCACGAAAGCCAGUUGUACUAGAAGCCGGCAAUUCAACCGCAAGGAGGUAGCCGUCCAAGGUAUGACUGGUGAUUGGGGUG